CCUAUGGGGGGCAGCAGUGGGGGAUAUUGCACAAUGGGGGAAACCCUGAUGCAGCGACGCCGCGUGGGUGAAGAAGCGCCUCGGCGCGUAAAGCCCUGUCAGCAGGGAAGAAAAAGACGGUACCUGAAGGAGAAGCCCCGGCUAACUACGUGCCAGCAGCCGCGGUAAUACGAAGGGGGCAAGCGUUAUCCGGAUUUACGGGGUGUAAAGGGGGCGCAGACGGCGGUGCAAGCCAGGAGUGAAAGCCCGGGGCACAACCCCGGGACUGCUCUUGGAACUGGGUGGCUAGAGUGCAGGAGGGGCAGGCGGAAUUCCUGGUGUAGCGGUGAAAUGCGUAGAUAUCAGGAGGAACACCGGUGGCGAAGGCGGCCUGCUGGACUGCAACUGACGUUGAGGCCCGAAAGCGUGGGGAGCAAACAGGAUUAGAUACCCCUGUAGUC
rnacentral:rRNA from 1 species